AACGAACGCUGGCGGCAGGCUUAACACAUGCAAGUCGAACGCUCCGCAAGGGGAGUGGCAGACGGGUGAGUAACGCGUGGGAACGUGCCCUAAGGUAUGGAAUAACCUCGGGAAACUGAAGCUAACACCAUAUGUGACCGAGAGGUGAAAGUUUAUCGCCUUAGGAUCGGCCCGCGUCAGAUUAGCUAGUUGGUGGGGUAAUGGCCUACCAAGGCGACGAUCUGUAGCUGUUCUGAGAGGAAGAUCAGCCACACUGGGACUGAGACACGGCCCAGACUCCUACGGGAGGCAGCAGUGGGGAAUCUUGGACAAUGGGCGCAAGCCCGAUCCAGCCAUGCCGCGUGGAUGAUGAAGGCCCUAGGGUUGUAAAAUCCUUUCGUUGGGGACGAUAAUGACGGUACCCAAAGAAGAAGCUCCGGCUAACUUCGUGCCAGCCGCCGCCGUAA
rnacentral:rRNA from 1 species